CGCGCCGCCCGCCUCGUCGCUCGCAACAUGUCGCCAAAAGCGACUAAAAAUAAUAGUGAGUAAAAACCGUACUGAUAAAUAUUUUGAAAUAUGUCUCACGAUAGUUUAAGUGAAACUCAACCUACCUUAUCAAAACAUAGUUUUUAACUAUCAAAAGAAUACUUAACGCCAGAGCACACCGGAUACGUGUGCGGAGACGAGCACGAGGCCUGGCGGUGUGCCGUCUCUUAUAAGGAUCUACAUAAUACAACGCGCGUGACGUCUACGCACAUGUACGCAUCCGGUGUGCACAGGCCUUUACCAUUUUUAUAAAUAAUCAAAAUGUAUAUUAGGUAAAUUUAUUUUAAAAUGGAUAUGCGAUGACUGAUCGAGACUAACACUAAACUCUUGCGUUUUGAACACAUAAUUAAUGCCAUUAACGGGUCUAACGCGAUAAAAUCUCAUCAUUUUACCUUUUUUCCGACGUUUCAGCUAGGUUGCACUAGCUGUGGUCACGGACAUUUUGCUGGGACGUCAGUCUUCCGUGACCACAGCUAGUGCAACCUGGCUGAAACGUCGGAAAAAGGUAAAAUAAUGAAAUUUAAUCGCGUUACACCCGUUAAUGACAUUAAUUAUAUGUAGCUUAAAUUGUAAAUAGAUACCGUAUAUAGAUGCUUACGUAUAUAUAAUGUAUUGUUAUCGUGACAUAACACUUGAAAGACACUAUACCCCUAGAGUUGCAGGCAUCCAUAGGCUACGGCGGGCCGUAUACUUGUUUCACACCGACGUGGUAUUAAAAAAAUAUAUACGGUAAAUACCUCCUUUUUAUAGUUAGUGGUAAUGUAAAUUAUUUCGUUUCCUUUUCCUACACAAAAAUGUGCAAAAUAUCGCCAUUUUGAAUACUUUACAACGGCCUUUUGCCUAUGCUUAUAUUACAGUGGAUUGUGAAUAAUAUUUCCUUUUUCCAUAAUGGAAAUUUUCAAAAAAAUUGCCAAAAAUUUCAAAAAAAAAUACGACACUUCGUAAGUUUAACAUUUGCAGAUACAGUCGUCAUCAGAUAUAUCGGAGCGGCCAAGGCGCUCACAAACAUCUGAGCACGCCUCUAUUGUCAACGCGAUCGAGUGCGUGUUUAGUUUUGCAUGACACGGUCAUAGUAGUGUCUUUCAGAAAAAGGAGCUUAAUUUAUUUAAUGUUAUAACAUCGAUGCCAUUUUUCUACAAUUGUAUUUAUGUGUAAAAAGUUAUCGUAAGUAAACUUAUUCACUUAAUUGAAUUUCAGAAAACUGUUCGUAUUCGAGUGGGGUAAUUAUACAAACUUAAUUUCACCCCAUUUCUGGGGUAAAAUAAAAGAUAGUAAAAUCUGUUUUACCUCACUUAAUUUUGUGUUUUAAUUAUUAUUGGUGGUAAUAAUGUUUUAAACAAUUAUUAAUUUUUAAUCGAUUACCGUAAAGAACAAUAAUGUGAAAUAAUAUUAACGUUGAGUUGAACUUAAGGCCAUAAAUGCUGAAAUUGAUCUAAGGAAAGGUAAACAUAUCACAGGUAGAUUUUCCCUUACAACCAACCGACAAGGGAAAUACAUCAUUUCGGUUUUACUUUGGUCAUUUCAGUAUUUUUGCGCUGAUCGCUUCUCAAUAAUUUUUAAAAAUAAAUAUAUGAAUUCCCUUUUAAGGAAGGCUGUGCUAAGUAAAGUUCGUGGUUUUGAGCCACUUGACGGUUACAGCGAAAAUCGAAAUUCGAAAGUAUAUAUUUCUGUUUGUAUCGCUCUUGCAUAUCGAGUUUACAAUUUUUGAAUUUCGAAGGUCGCGGCCGCCAUAUUCUCAUAGAACGUCAGUUAUUUUGUUAUGCACACGAUUAAUGUAUAAAAUAAAUUAUAUUAUUUGUA